rnacentral:rRNA from 1 species
GACGAACGCUGGCGGCGUGCUUAACACAUGCAAGUCGAGCGGUAAGGCCUUUCGGGGUACACGAGCGGCGAACGGGUGAGUAACACGUGGGUGAUCUGCCCUGCACUUCGGGAUAAGCCUGGGAAACUGGGUCUAAUACCGGAUAUGACCUCCUAUCGCAUGGUGGGUGGUGGAAAGAUUUAUCGGUGCAGGAUGGGCCCGCGGCCUAUCAGCUUGUUGGUGGGGUAAUGGCCUACCAAGGCGACGACGGGUAGCCGACCUGAGAGGGUGACCGGCCACACUGGGACUGAGACACGGCCCAGACUCCUACGGGAGGCAGCAGUGGGGAAUAUUGCACAAUGGGCGAAAGCCUGAUGCAGCGACGCCGCGUGAGGGAUGACGGCCUUCGGGUUGUAAACCUCUUUCAGCAGGGACGAAGCGCAAGUGACGGUACCUGCAGAAGAAGCACCGGCUAACUACGUGC